GAUGAACGCUGGCGGCGUGCUUAACACAUGCAAGUCGAACGGAAAGGCUCCUGCUUGCAGGGGUACUCGAGUGGCGAACUGGUGAGUAACACGUGGGUGAUCUGCCCUGCACUUCGGGAUAAGCCUGGGAAACUGGGUCUAAUACCGGAUAGGACGAUGGUUUGGAUGCCAUUGUGGAAAGUUUUUUCGGUGUGGGAUGAGCUCGCGGCCUAUCAGCUUGUUGGUGGGGUAAUGGCCUACCAAGGCGUCGACGGGUAGCCGGCCUGAGAGGGUGUACGGCCACAUUGGGACUGAGAUACGGCCCAGACUCCUACGGGAGGCAGCAGUGGGGAAUAUUGCACAAUGGGCGCAAGCCUGAUGCAGCGACGCCGCGUGGGGGAUGACGGCCUUCGGGUUGUAAACUCCUUUCGCUAGGGACGAAGCGCAAGUGACGGUACCUGGAGAAGAAGCACCGGCUAACUACGUG
rnacentral:rRNA from 1 species